rnacentral:tRNA from 1 species
CACUCCUACUUUCAAAGGAUAUUAGACAACCCGCUAGUUUUAGGCACUA